rnacentral:rRNA from 1 species
UGGGGGGUCGGGGUUCCCAUCCCCAACCGGGGCGGGGGAAAACGUAAACAGCUGCCGCCAAAUAGUGCGCGCAAUGCUUCAAGAUUGAGAUUCAUAAUUCGCAAUUCACAUUACUAUCGAUUUGCGCUUCUUCAUGAUGCCAGAACCAAAGAUCCGUGUGAAGUUGAUUUAUUUAUGUUUACUCGAAGUACAUAUAAAACGAGUUAGGUCCUCGGGGCGUCCCUUUUACCGAGGGUGAUCCGCGAGCAACAAUUGUAUUUCACAGGUUGGAGUGUAACUCGUAAUAUUUUUUUUGGUGACAGCGGAGGAUCAUACCGAGUUACAACUCCCAAACCCCUGUGAACAUACCAAUUGUUGCCUCGGCGGAUCAGCCCGCUCCCGGUAAAACGGGACGGCCCGCCAGAGGACCCCUAAACUCUGUUUCUAUAUGUAACUUCUGAGUAAAACCAUAAAUAAAUCAAAACUUUCAACAACGGAUCUCUUGGUUCUGGCAUCGAUGAAGAACGCAGCAAAAUGCGAUAAGUAAUGUGAAUUGCAGAAUUCAGUGAAUCAUCGAAUCUUUGAACGCACAUUGCGCCCGCCAGUAUUCUGGCGGGCAUGCCUGUUCGAGCGUCAUUUCAACCCUCAAGCCCCCGGGUUUGGUGUUGGGGAUCGGCGAGCCCUCGCGGCAAGCCGGCCCCGAAAUCUAGUGGCGGUCUCGCUGUAGCUUCCAUUGCGUAGUAGUAAAACCCUCGCAACUGGUACGCGGCGCGGCCAAGCCGUUAAACCCCCAACUUCUGAAUGUUGACCUCGGAUCGGAGUAGAAUACCCGCUGAACUUAACCCUAUCAUAAGGCGGAAGAGAGUCUUACGGGGUUUACCCUCCAAACCAUGGGGACUUCCAAUGGUUGCCUCGGCGAACACCCCUCCGGUAAGCGGGACGGCCGCGAGGACCCUAACUUGUUUCUAUAUGUAACUUCUGAGUAAAACAUAAAUAAAUCAAACUUUCACAACGAUCUCUUGGUUCUGGCAUCAUGAAGAAGCACAAAUGCGAUAAGUAAUGUGAAUUGCGAAUUCGUGAAUCACAAUCUUUAAGCCAUUGCGCCGCACUAUUUGGGGGCAGCUGUUGA